ACGCUCGACACCUACGGGAUGCAGCAGUGGGGAAUAUUGCACAAUGGAGGAAACUCUGAUGCAGCGAUGCCGCGUGAGGGAAGAAGGUUUUCGGAUUGUAAACCUCUGUCUUUGGGGACGAUAAUGACGGUACCCAAGGAGGAAGCUCCGGCUAACUACGUGCCAGCAGCCGCGGUAAUCUGAGCGGGCUGGCAAGGC
rnacentral:rRNA from 1 species